UAAUACCGCAUACGCUCUUCUGCCGGCAUCGGUGGGGGAGGAAACGUUGACGGCUCGGAGAGGGGCUCGCGGCCUAUCAGCUAGUUGGUGGGGUAAUGGCUUACCAAGGCGACGACGGGUAGCUGGUCUGAGAGGAUGGCCAGCCACAUUGGGACUGAGAAACGGCCCAGACUCCUACGGGAGGCAGCAGUGGGGAAUCUUGCGCAAUGGCCGAGAGGCUGACGCAGCGACGCCGCGUGGGGGAUGAAGCAUUUCGGUGUGUAAACCCCUGUUGCUCGGGACGAACGAUCCUUUUCGAGGGAUGUGACGGUACCGAGUGAGGAAGCACCGGCUAACUCCGUGCCAGCAGCCGCGGUAAUACGGAGGGUGCGAGCGUUGUCCGGAAUCACUGGGCGUAAAGGGCGCGUAGGUGGUUGGAUGCGCCGGUGGUGAAAGCGCAGGGCUCAACCCUGCGUCGGCCAUCGGGACGGUCCGACUGGAGCACUGUAGAGGCAGGUGGAAUUCCGGGUGUAGCGGUGGAAUGCGUAGAGAUCCGGAAGAACACCGGUGGCGAAGGCGGCCUGCUGGGCAGUUGCUGACACUGAGGCGCGACAGCGUGGGGAGCAAACAGGAUUAGAUACCCUGGUAGUCCACGCCGUAAACGAUGGGCACUAGGUGCUUGGGGGAGCGACCCCCUGAGUGCCGACGCUAACGCAUUAAGU
rnacentral:rRNA from 1 species